rnacentral:misc_RNA from 1 species
AAAGUCGUAACAAGGUAACCGUAGGUGAACCUGCGGUUGGAUCAUUAACAACGAAAGGUUCGAGGUAGAGAGAAUGCCCCAGUGCAGAAAAUGCACAAGGGGGCGGGAGAUUGGUUCUCCCACCUGUUGUGGUCUUUUUUUUUUUUCUUUUCGUCGUGUGAAAACCGAAGAAACAACUUUUGGCAACGGAUCUCUUGGCUCUC